rnacentral:piRNA from 1 species
UUGACCAUGUGCCCUCUAAUCAUGUG